rnacentral:rRNA from 1 species
AUGGGGAUGCUACAACCAUCUGGGUGUGAAACUACAACCCCAAGCGUCCUUUUGCUGGAAGCGACCAACGGCGAUGCUACAACCUUCAUCGACGGAUGCUACAACCGUCAACGGUGGGAGCUACAAGCAGUGAUGGCGAGAUGGAAAGUCGUGACCAUGGAGUCGAUUUUGCUGGGAUGGAGGACGACGGUGGUGGCGGAGCUGCAACGGCGACCGGUGGCGGAGAUGCAAUGGUGUGUCCUCUCUGCAACCACGGGGCGCUCGGGCACGACGACGGCGACUUGUUGCGGUGUGCUGGCACGAGCAACCGACGGCAAGCACGGGUCAUGGGGCGGCCGACGAGCGCUUGUUGCGCGGCUGUGCAGGAGGCCGGCGAGCACCGAUGAGGACGAGCGGUUGCGCUAG